rnacentral:rRNA from 1 species
AUACGGAGGAUCCGAGCGUUAUCCGGAUUUAUUGGGUUUAAAGGGUGCGCAGGCGGCCAUUUAAGUCAGCGGUUAAAUCGUGGGGCUCAACCCCAUUCUGCCGUUGAUUCUGGGUGGCUUGAUUGCGGUCGAGGUUGGCGGAAUUCGUUGUGUAGCGGUGAAAUGCAUAGAUAUGACGAAGAACACCGAUUGCGUAGGCAGCUGACCAGACCGCAAAUGACGCUCAUGCACGAAAGUGCGGGGAUCGAACAGGAUUAGAUACCCUGGUAGUCCGCACAGUAAACGAUGAAUACUUGUUUUCGGCGAUAUAAUGUCGGAGGCAAAGCGAAAGCGAUAAGUAUUCCACCUGGGGAGUACGCCGGCAACGGUGAAACUCAAAUGAAUUGACGGGG